GGCACGAGUGGCAUAGACAUCGAUCUACAGAAAGUCGAUAUUGACCAGUGUCCACUACACGGGGAUGGAGAGGAUAACGUGUUUGCCGGAAGUGCCAGGUGCAGACCAAGGACCACACAGACAGGAGCUCUUAAACAUUCCGUCGGGCAGGGAUGUGGAGAUCAGAGAAAAGAUGGAUGGAAGAACGGAGGAAGCCACAUCUCUCUGACACGACAACCGCCUUAUAUAUUCAGCGCUACAAAUUUGAUGAAGAUUGAUUUAUCACCGGGAUAUCACGAUCAAAUGGAUUUAUCGUGUCUCUUGUGUUACAAAUUUGUCAGCUUUGCGUCAAGAAAUUAACCACCACCCUCCUCAUGAAUAAAGAGGUUUGUUAGCCCAGUUGUCGUCCUUGUCAGGCUGACCGCUACAGGGUUGCGGUCAACCCGUUACGGGAACUCACAUCCACAUGUCGAGGUCGGGAUCAGAAAACAAGUGACCUUGGUGAAGGAAUUAAAAUCCCCCUUCCCCCUCC